rnacentral:rRNA from 1 species
UACGUAGGGUGCAAGCGUUAUCCGGAAUUAUUGGGCGUAAAGAGCUCGUAGGCGGUUUGUCGCGUCUGCUGUGAAAACUGGAGGCUCAACCUCCAGCCUGCAGUGGGUACGGGCAAACUAGAGUGCGGUAGGGGAGAUUGGAAUUCCUGGUGUAGCGGUGAAAUGCGCAGAUAUCAGGAGGAACACCGGUGGCGAAGGCGGGUCUCUGGGCCUUACCUGACGCUGAGGAGCGAAAGCGUGGGGAGCGAACAGG